GUGGGUUCUUGGUUUCACUGACUUAAAGAAUGAAGCCGCUGACCCUCGCGGUGAGUGUUACAGUUCUUAAUGAUGGUGUGUCCGGAGUUCGUUCCUUCAGAUGUUCAGAUGUGUCUGGAGUUUCUUCCUUCUGGUGGGUUUGUGGUCUCACUGACUUCAGGAGUGAAGCUGCAGACCCUCGCGGUGAGUGUUACGGCUCUUAAAGGCGGUGCAUCUGGAGUUGUUCAUUCCUUCUGGUGGGUUUGUGGUCUUGCUGACUUCAGGAAUGAAGCUGCAGACCUUCAUGGUGAGUGUUACAGUUCAUAAAGGUGGCUCGUCCAGAGUUGUUCAUUCCUCCCAUCCGGAGUUGUUUGUUCCUCCCGUCCAGAAUUGUUCGUUCCUCCUGUCUGGAGUUGUUCCUUCCUGUGGGUUCAUGGUCUCGCUGGCUUCAGGAGUGAAGCUGCA
rnacentral:lncRNA from 10 species